GUAGUUUGAUCCUGGCUCAGGACGAACGCUGGCGGCGCGCCUAACACAUGCAAGUCGAACGAGCGAGAGAGAGCUUGCUUUCUCGAGCGAGUGGCGAACGGGUGAGUAACGCGUGAGGAACCUGCCUCAAAGAGGGGGACAACAGUUGGAAACGACUGCUAAUACCGCAUAAGCCCACGACCCGGAAUCGGGGUAAGAGGGAAAAGGAGCAAUCCGCUUUGAGAUGGCCUCGCGUCCGAUUAGCUAGUUGGUG
rnacentral:rRNA from 1 species